rnacentral:misc_RNA from 1 species
AACGCCUUGCUCAAUUUUUUGAAUGCUUCCUCUGAUCCUGGUGCCUUGUUCUUAUCUGGGUGGACUUUCAAUGACAAUUUCUUAUAAGCCUUCCUAAUCUCCUCGACAGAACAAGUCUUUUCCACCCCAAGAAUUGCAUAGUAAUCCUUAUUCCUCUUAAUCUGCCUAAUCAAUUCCACAUGUUCUUCAGUAUAAUUCCGCUCUCCAUUUAAACCCUCAUCAAUUUUAGCAGAACUAGUCCUGUUCUUAUUAUUAUCAACAACGCAUUUUUCAUCUAGAGAAGAUGGUAUCGACCCAGAAGAAUCAAUCUUCUCACAGGCAGCUAAAAGCUCAUCAGUAGGCAAAUUAUGAUUCAGACGAUGGGCAAUUCUAAUAAAUUUCAAUGCUCGGUCUUUAUUUCCUGAUGCAAUUGAUUCUUCAGCAAUUCGAACACAUCUCGCAGCUUCAUCUUUGUUAACAUCCAUAGUUUUCUUC